GAGUAAUGAAUUCAAUUUGUUACAUUUGUUCAUAUGGGACAAACGAGUACAAAAUAGUUUUUGCUUUAGAAAAAUAAUACAAGAAAAGGAUGAAAAAAAGAAAUGAGGUUUUCUUGCAGUUUUUGCCACAAUGCCACCAUGUGUAUCAUCAACAAAACAGGGGUGUUCAUCUCUUUAUUAUCACCACCAUAUAGUGUACCUUCAAUCUGCAGAAGGAGAGGCACCAACUUAGCAAACAACAAAUGUAUACAUCAAUACAGAUCAUGCCAUGACGCAUACAUAGAUGACAAAUUCAAACAAGAAGAACAGAAAACACGUGAAGUUCAACAUCCAUGCCAUCUUAACAUCAAUGCAACAGUCACCAAGCAUAACCACAACACCCAUCAUACGCAUCAUACAUGUGCACAAAAAUUGAAUAUAGAAAAGAAAAUGAAUACAAAAUAUCUCAGCUCAACGCGUAUUGCUCACUUGGCUUCGUGCCCCCACCGUGUAAAGUCAUCUUUCUGUAUUUUUAUGCAUGCUGGUGUUUGUUAGUUCGUAGAAUAGAGAGAGAGGAGGAAACAGCAGAGAGAAAGAGAGAGUUUGUUUCUUAU
rnacentral:lncRNA from 1 species